GAACGCUAGCGACAGGCCUAACACAUGCAAGUCGAGGGGCAGCACAAGGAGCAAUCUGAGGUGGCGACCGGCGCACGGGUGAGUAACACGUAUGCAACCUGCCUGUAAGCGGGGAAUAACCCGUUGAAAGACGGACUAAUACCGCAUAAUACUAAAUUACUGCAUGGUAAUUUAUUUAAACAUUUAUGGCUUACAGAUGGGCAUGCGCAUGAUUAGCUAGUUGGAGAGGUAACGGCUCCCCAAGGCAACGAUCAUUAGGGGUUCUGAGAGGAAGGUCCCCCACACUGGUACUGAGACACGGACCAGACUCCUACGGGAGGCAGCAGUGAGGAAUAUUGGUCAAUGGACGAGAGUCUGAACCAGCCAAGUCGCGUGCAGGAAGAAUGUCCUUAAUGGAUUGUAAACUGCUUUUGCAGGGGAAUAAAGUGCAUCACGUGUGAUGUUUUGUAUGUACUCUGCGAAUAAGGAUCGGCUAACUCCGUGCCAGCCGCUGC
rnacentral:rRNA from 1 species